ACUCUCUAGAUAAGGUGGUUUCUGAGCUAAGUUUGAUAAGAUGAGCAAGUUAGUCAAAAUAAUAAAAGGGAGAGAAAGCAUUCCAGCAUGUGGGUAGAUAUUAGCAUGACAGGAAUUUUUAUUAGGUCCUUGCAAGUUGGAUGCACAGCAUUUUCCUGACUUAGAACACACCCUCCCUUUCUCUCCUUAGGUUGUAUCCAUUGCUCGGAAAAAUUUUAGACUUCCUCAGAAGUCUUUCUUAAUUCACCCUUUCCUUUUGUGAGCUAGCGGUGUCACCUGGCGCACACUGGAGUCAGAAUAGGUUUCAAUCCUAUUUGUUCUGUCUGUCAUCUGGAAGACCUCUCUGACUUUGUUUUCCCAUCUGUAAAAUGGUGAUAACAACUUCCAAGGCUGCUGUAAGAAUCGACUAAAAUAAUCCGUGUAAAGUGCUUCAAGCAAUACCUGACACUUGUGUAGUACAUCAAAUGAAAUGGAGAAAAGGUCCUAAAAGGGUUAUCUGAUGAGGGAGGAAUGAAGAGGAUUCCCCUAGAUCAGCUCCAUCCUGUAACCUCUGGCCUAAAACACCAAGACUGAGUCCACUGGUGACAUGAUUCUAUAUAAAGAGAAAUCCAAAGACUCCCAAGAGCCUAUUACAACUGAAAAGUGAAGUCAUGGUAUG